UUAAGUUCUUGGCAGGGGAGAUACUAUGAUCAUAAAAGUGGUUUUCCCAUGUGAGCCUUAUCCAUUACUGACUGGAUAUGCUGACUCUUGAAAUUUCCCCAAAUGUGAUAAUCUCAAUUGAAUAAUUUUUGGUAGUGGGGGGUCUGCAUUUGCAUUAUUUUU